UACGAAGGGGGCUAGCGUUGCUCGGAAUCACUGGGCGUAAAGGGCGCGUAGGCGGAUCUUUAAGUCGGGGGUGAAAGCCUGAGGCUCAACCUCAGAAUUGCCUUCGAUACUGGAGAUCUUGAGACCGGAAGAGGUAAGUGGAACUGCGAGUGUAGAGGUGAAAUUCGUAGAUAUUAGGAAGAACACCAGUGGCGAAGGCGGCUCACUGGCCCGGUACUGACGCUGAGGCGCGAAAGCGUGGGAGCAACAGGA
rnacentral:rRNA from 1 species